rnacentral:lncRNA from 1 species
GUGGCAACAUAUUCCCUUUGGAGGAAAUUCUGUCUAGGCCUAAAGCAGUGUGGUCUAGCUUUAUGGUUUGAUUAAAGACAAUCACACAAUGUCCCAUAUAUUUCCUACAUCACAUGUAGGCCAUCAACAGUCUGAUCAAGGUUUGGCUAUGUCAAGUCCAACACAGCUCCUAGGUAUCAAAUGAUCAUAAACUCUGGAGGUUCACUCUCACUCAUGGCACCUGUCUUAGCCUAUUUUCUGUUGCUUAUAACAAAAUACCUGAAAAUUUAUUUAAAAAAAUAAAAUGUAUUUCUUACAGUUCUGGAGGCUGGGAAGUUCAAGAUUGAGGGGCCACAUCUGGUGAGGGCCUUCUUGAUGGUAGAAACUCUCUGCAGUCCUGAGGUAGCACAGGGCAUCACAUGGCAAGGGGACUAAGUAUGCUAACAUGGUAGCUUAGGUCUCUCUUUCUCUUCUUAU